ACAUGAGAGCGUGAUAAGGAAACCCUAGUGCCAGCACAGGCUGGCUGUCCACCAGUGUAAAUAACUGGUGAAGAAAGGGCCGGGCAAGACCGGUGCCAGCCGCCGCGGUAAUACCGGCGGCUCGAGUGGUGGCCGCUAUUACUGGGCUUAAAGGGUCCGUAGCUGGAUAUACAAGUCCCUUGAGAAAUCCGCCGGCUUAACCGGUGGGCGUUCAGGGGAAACUGUAUUUCUAGGGACCGGGAGAGGUGAGAGGUACUGCCGGGGUAGGAGUGAAAUCCUGUAAUCCCGGUGGGACCACCUAUGGCGAAGGCAUCUCACCAGAACGGGUCCGACAGUGAGGGACGAAAGCUGGGGGAGCAAACCGGAUUAGAUACCCGGGUAGUCCCAGCUGUAAACGAUGCGCGUUAGGUGUGUCAGUGACCACGUGUCACUGAGGUGCCGAAGGGAAACCGUGAAACGCGCCGCCUGGGGAGUACGGUCGCAAGGCUGAAACUUAAAGGAAUUGGCG
rnacentral:rRNA from 1 species